UUCGGCGGCCAUAGCGUGAGGGAAACGCCCGGUCACAUUCCGACCCCGGAAGCUAAGCCUCACAGCGCCGAUGGUACUGCAGGGGGGACCCUGUGGGAGAGUAGGACACCGCCGGAC
rnacentral:rRNA from 1 species